rnacentral:rRNA from 1 species
UACGGAGGGUGCAAGCGUUGCUCGGAAUUACUGGGCGUAAAGCGUGCGCAGGCGGUUUUGUAAGCCAGAUGUGAAAUCCCCGGGCUUAACCUGGGAAUGGCGUUUGGGACUGGGAGUCUGGAGUGCGGCAGAGGAGACUGGAAUUCCUGGUGUAGCAGUGAAAUGCGUAGAUAUCAGGAGGAACACCGAUGGCGAAGGCAGGUCUCUGGGCUGACACUGACGCUCAUGCACGAAAGCGUGGGGAGCAAACAGG